rnacentral:snRNA from 17 species
AUCCCAGUGCACGGGCGUUUUCCUUCUCCGUGAAGCGAUUAGCUGAGAGAGGAAUUUUGCUAGUUGAAAACUAUUUACUGACCACUUCUCAUCGGGUUCGCCUGGUGAGAGAAUUUUUGGCAUACCCGACGUCUUCUUUCUUUCUUUCAUUGCGACUCGGU